rnacentral:tmRNA from 1 species
GGGGCCGACCUGGUUUCGACGUGGGUGCGGAUCCGGAGUAGGGCAUGCCGAGCACCAGUUCGCUCGUAAAUCCACUGGAAAAAACUACCUGCAAACGACGAAAAGUUUGCCCUCGCUGCUUAAUUAGCACGAGGCUCCGCAACAGUUGGCCUAUGGGCUGGGGUGGCAACACCUGCGGAGUCAUUCACAUAGGCUGGUCGCCGGCCGGGCUGUACGGCAGGCGACGAGAUUAUUCAGCUGGCGGCGUCCAAAGCGUGCUCCUGCGCGUUGGCACCGUGAGAAUCAAAUCAGAGAGCUAAGCAUGUAGAACUGCCCGGUGAUGGCUUGCGGACGCGGGUUCAAUUCCCGCCGGCUCCACCA